UACGUAGGGUCCGAGCGUUGUCCGGAUUUAUUGGGCGUAAAGAGCUCGUAGGCGGUUCCGUAAGUCAGAUGUGAAAACUCAGGGCUCAACCCGGAGACGCCAUCUGAUACUGCGGUGACUGGAGUCUGGUAGGGGAACACGGAAUUCCUGGUGUAGCGGUGAAAUGCGCAGAUAUCAGGAGGAACACCGGUGGCGAAGGCGGAUCUCUGGGCCAUUACUGACGCUGAGGAGCGAAAGCGUGGGGAGCGAACAGG
rnacentral:rRNA from 1 species